rnacentral:lncRNA from 1 species
GAAGCCUUGGGUAGGUGGUCAGAGGAAUUCGUUUCUGGGCUUGGGCUCCUGCCCCCUGGCCCAGCGGCCGAGAACAAGGACCCACAACAGACCUGACACACUGACCCAUCCGCGGGCCCUAGGGACCGACCGACAGCAGCGCUGCCCGGCCUCCCCCGCCUGCAGCGGCGAGAGGGGGCAUCCGCCAGGUCCUAGAGCCCUUUGUCCCCGCUUUGUCUAAAAGACUCAGAAUUCAUCAAACCGGGAACCGAUAUCUCAGACAAGCCUUGCAGAGAGUGCAAUGGCCAUCCCCGGUUUCGUCAUUCAGGCGGGGCCACAGGAAAUUUGGCCUGGCAGCGAUGCUCUAGGGCUGACAGUGGGUUGCUGGGGGUGGGAGGAGGUUUUGGACGAUCUCGACCUUUAUUCGUUAAAGGUUUAUCAAUCCGGGACACGCGGACACUGAUGGAAGAGAGAACCAAACUUACAUCAGACACUCUGGACCGCCGGUUCCACCACUUGCUGGGAGCCUUAAAGACAUCAGAUCAAGGUGAUGAGAUGAAGGACGAGGAGUUGGAGCAAAUCACCCAUGACUCAGGGGGAAAGAAGAGUUGGGGAUGUCUUGUGUGAGUGAGUCUUCCUGUUGCUCAGGAGAGGAGAUAAGGGAAUUAAUCUACCAGAGCAACAUCCAUUUCUCCCACCAGGCUAACUGAGCUGGGGACACCAGGCCAGCUGAGCACAGACUAAGGUGGUUUUCUUUUUCUUCCAUUCCCCCCCACCCCAGGGCUUGGACCCAGGCUUGAUGCAUGCUAUGCACAGCGUGUGCUGGACCCUGAGCUUCACCUCUAGCCCUUCAUUUCCUUUUUUCUCCUUUUUUUCUUUUUGACAGAAAAAAAGAAAAGAAAUAUAUCAGAAAAAUCUGGAACAUUAACCAAGAAAAAUAGUAAAAACUAAGCGGAUAGUAAUGAGCAAAGGUAUCCAAAGUCAGUUUGGGAAGGUCAGUUUAUUAGGAAUCACUCAUUUAUCCAACAAACACCAUCAUGGACUAUAUGCCUAGAGGUGUGCCCGGCAUCUUUUUUUUUUCAUUCACUGUCUCUUUAAUAACUGUUAAUAAAAGAGUUCCUUGCAAAUGGAAAGUGUGAUGU